GACGAACGCUGGCGGCGUGCCUAAUACAUGCAAGUAGAACGCUGAAGAGAGGAGCUUACUCUUCUUGGAUGAGUUGCGAACGGGUGAGUAACGCGUAGGUAACCUGCCUUGUAGCGGGGGAUAACUAUUGGAAACGAUAGCUAAUACCGCAUAACAAUGGAUGACACAUGUCAUUUAUUUGAAAGGGGCAAUUGCUCCACUACAAGAUGGACCCGCGUUGUAUUAGCUAGUAGGUGAGGUAAUGGCUCACCUAGGCGACGAUACAUAGCCGACCUGGGAGGGGGAUCGGCCACACUGGGACUGAGACACGGCCCAGACUCCUAAGGGAGGCAGCAGUAGGGAAUCUUCGGCAAUGGGGGCAACCCUGACCGAGGAACGCCGCGUGAGUGAAGAAGGUUUUCGGAUCGUAAAGCUCUGUUGUAAGUCAAGAACGGGUGUGGGAGUGGAAAGUGCACACUGUGACGGUAGCUUACCAGAAAGGGACGGCUAACUACGUG
rnacentral:rRNA from 1 species